AGAAUUCCUAUAUUCAUCCCAGUGCUGGUGAAGACAAAGAUAAAACCAAACUACAGCUUCUUUGAUAGUUAUCAAAACAAACUGUAUAAACUGAUGCAUCAAUGAAUAAUAACUCAACAAGUAAUGCUCAAUCAAGGAGUUGAUUUACUUUGGGAGGAAAUGGACAUAUUUAUGGAUUCCUCUGCUUUGAACUGCUUGCAAAACUUGUCUGGACUAUGUAUUACUUGUAUGCAUUGUGAACUAUCUGUUGAUGCAGCUAAUUGUGGUAGUGCUGGCGUAUCUUUGCAGAUGGUGUCAUUGGUGGUACAAUUUUUCCAAAAAGAGCCAUCAUUUGGCUUGGUGUCAUGGCAUUUUGCAUCCUCCUCCCUUCUGCUAGUGAUGGUCUAAAAUUUGGAGGCCAACAGAGGUGAGGCAAAGAACCUCACCCCCCCCACUGACACCAAGGACAAAUUUGGGAGCCAACAAAGGUGAGGCAAAGAACCUCACCCCCUCACUGGUGCAAAGGCCUAUCCACAAGUAUGGCUGUAUGCUGGACCGGUAGUCAGUGACGGGUAUGAUCCAAUUGCAGUGGUACCAACCUAAGACAGGAGGCUGACGCCUUGAGGUCAGCUCAUCCGAUGAUGGGUAAGGACCAUAUGUAGUAUUGGACAGCCUAACAGGCACGGUCCCUAAGCCACAUUGCUUGUUGUUUAAUUAAACAGAAGGGGGGAGAUGUUGAGGGCCACAGCCUAGUCAAGAUGACGCAUGGCAUUUUUGCCAGAAGUAGUGGUUGAGAGGUGACGCUAGCAAGCCAUUAAGAUGAUGACUUAUGAGUUCUGGCAGAGUUCCCGUUGAGGUCUGCUUGAGCUCUCGUGGGGAUUCCUGGAGAGUUCCCAUUGGUUGGGGAAGUGCUGGAGGAGGGAUUUUUCCUGUUGCUGGUUCCUGG
rnacentral:lncRNA from 1 species